rnacentral:rRNA from 1 species
GACGAACGCUGGCGGCGUGCUUAACACAUGCAAGUCGAACGGUGAAGCGCCUUCCUUUUUGGUGGGUGUGGAUGAGUGGCGAACGGGUGAGUAACACGUGAAUAACCUGCCCCCUUCUUCUGGAUAACCGCAUGAAAGUGUGGCUAAUACGGGAUAUUCUGGGUCUGUCGCAUGAUGGGUCUGGGAAAGAUAUUGUUUCGGUGGGGGAUGGGCUCGCGGCCUAUCAGCUUGUUGGUGGGGUGAUGGCCUACCAAGGCGGUGACGGGUAGCCGGCCUGAGAGGGUGGACGGUCACACUGGGACUGAGACACGGCCCAGACUCCUACGGGAGGCAGCAGUGGGGAAGAUUGCACAAUGGGCGCAAGCCUGAUGCAGCGACGCCGCGUGAGGGAUGGAGGCCUUCGGGUUGUGAACCUCUUUCGCCAGUGAAGCAGGCCUGCCUCGUUUGUGGGUGGGUUGACGGGAGCUGGAUAAGAAGCGCCGACGAACUACGU